GGUGGAUACUUAUAAAAGAGGUAUUAGGUUCAAAUCUGUGGAAGACAUUAAUCAUUUUUCAAAAUUUUUUCCUUAUUUUUUCCAUAUUUUUAAAGGGAAAUGCCUAGAAUCUGGAAAAAAAUGCGAGUUUUUUCACAUUUUUUAAAACUAAAUCUGAAUUUUUUUUUCUAAGUCCUUGCUAAAGAAAACAAAAUUCAGAUUUUGUUUAAACGCACACCGGUGUGAGGCCCUACUAAUUGGAGCUCACGCACAACACAUCUGAACAAUCCGAAGCGCUAACCAUUACACCCAAGAAUUGCUAGAGGGGAACGCAUUUAAAUGAUUUUUUAUCCACUGAAAUCUAGUACAAUAUUAGUGUUCCUGCAUGGCAAUGUCUCCAUUUCCUCUCAGUUCCCUUUUACUUUCUGGUAUAAUUUCUUGUGCAGAUGACACAAAACAUCCGAAAAAUAUUAUUGAAUACUAUUUUUGCCAUACAAAUAAAAAAUCAAAUCAAAUAUAAUUGAAGAUUGAAAUAAUAAAACAUUUCGCUUAUGCCAAGAUUUGAACCACUAACACAUAUGUGAUGGGAAUGUUUGAAGUUACCAAACAAUUAUUUACUCAAUUCCAUUUUUCCAAAAAGAAUCAUAUUUUUUUAUUAAAAUUUUGAAUUUCCAAAAAACAAACCUCGGCCAUGCAACUUCAACAUAUCGGUAUGCUCUGGUGUGCGGUCCCACUAAUUCGAGCUCACGCACACCGGUUUGACGCCCUACUAAUUAGAGCUCACACACAACACAUCUGAACAAUCCGAAGCGCUAACCAUUACACCCAAGAAUUGCUAGAGGGGAACGUAUUUAAAUGAUUUUUGAUCCACUCAAAUCUAGUACAAUAUUAGUGUUCCUGCAUGGCAAUUAGUAAAACCUCGGCCAUCCCCGUCUACGAAUGAUGUGGCGCCCAUACCUAAUGCAGCACCCGUCCCUGAUAAAAUCAUCCCCGACAAUUUCUUAUCAACUGAUAGUAUUAAUGGUGAAUCAGUUGGUUAUGAUAGUGGUUCUUUUCUUAAAAAAACUCAACAUUCCAAUCGUGCGUCUAAGACGGUAGUUCGUAAAGUUAAGGCAUCGAAAACAACUACUGCCAAAUUAGCGUCGCUUGUAAUGGCAUCGACGCUGGGCCGACGAAAUCCUCGUCGUCGAUUAAGAUGACAAUUUCUCAAGUUCGUACAGUCUUCAUUGAUGAAGCAAACUACUUAUUGACUGAUAGGUUUUGAUCAAUAUUGUCCGUUUUAUUAGUAUUUCACUGAUGUGUUGUUUCUCACUUAGAGUAAACGUUGAAACAAUUGCUGCUAGCAGCAAUUGCAAGCAGCAAUUGCAGCAAUUCUAGCAGCGGUUCUAUUCUUGAAAAAACUAAAAUUGCGAAUAACGUUUCUAAAACUGUUCUGAAACCCAUGGGAUUAGUAAAAAAAAUCCUUUCUGCUGUCAAUGACUGCUGUCAAAGCAGUGUCGCUUCUAAAUAGCAUGGAUGCUGGACCAACCAAAUCCUCUUCGUCCGCUGAGAUUAGUUUCUCAAGUGUGUUUAGCCAUCAUUGAUAAAACAAAUUACCGACUGAAAGAUUAGUCAAAAUACCUACUGUUAAAACUGUGCCGCUUCUAAAUAGCACGAAUCCAUACCAAAUCGUAUUCCCCCGCUAAGAAUAUAGUUUCUCAAGUGCCUCCAGCCAACAUUGAUAAAACAAACUACUCCACUGAAAGUAUUAAUGUGGAAUCAAAUGCAGCAGUGGUUGAAUUGUUGAAAAAACCAGCGUUUCAAUUUACGUUUCUAAGACUGUGCUGAAACCCAUGGAAUUAGUCAAAACACCUUCUGUAAAACUAGUGUCGCUUCUAAAAAGCAUGGAUGCUGCACCGACGAAAUCGUCUUCGUCCGCUGAGAUGAUUGAUCGAUGACGAUUAUUGAUCCUUUUCCCCACAUCGCUUUCCCUUUUCCGCAACCACAGCUUCCCCACCAGUUAACCAAUCUAUAAUUGGUUAUCUGUGACUCUGCCGAGUCAGACCCAUCACUCACCUUAUUAUCACCCAUAUGAAUUCCUAUUUUAACUGAAACGAAUCCGAUUAUGAAGCAGCUAGAGGCGCUAGAGGGUAGGCAUAACGUUUUUGCCUUCAUGCGACUCUAGCGUAAGAGAACGGAAACCAAUCCGUUCUACGGCCCUCAAAAAAUCCGUUUUUUAACGACACGGAA
rnacentral:lncRNA from 1 species